rnacentral:rRNA from 1 species
AGUAAUGCAUAGGAAUCUACCUAGUAGUAUGGGAUAGCCACUAGAAAUGGUGGGUAAUACUGUAUAAUCCCUGCGGGGGAAAGAUUUAUCGCUAUUAGAUGAGCCUAUGUCAGAUUAGCUAGUUGGUGGGGUAAUGGCCUACCAGCGGUGAUCUGUAGCUGGUCUGAGAGGAUGAUCAGCCACACUGGAACUGAGACACGGUCCAGACUCCUACGGGAGGCAGCAGUGGGGAACGGUGGACAAUGGGCGCAAGCCUGAUCCAGCUAUGCCGCGUGAGUGAGGAAGGAAGUAGGGUUGUAAAACUCUUUCACUAGGGAAGAUAAUGACGGUACCUACAG